UCUCUGUUAAGCCAAUGAUUUUCCUUUUUCCACUUUAAAAAAAAUCAACAGCCCUUGAAUUCCUGGAAAUACGUACUACUAUACAGUCAUUUCUUGAGCAUCAAUCAACAACAACAGCCAGAUUUCUGUUUCUGUGAUUUUAGUUCCUCUUUUUUGAUACAUAACAAUUGAGGCAGUGAUGACAUUUUAUCCGGAUUCUGGGCUAACUGGAUCGGGCAUAAAGACUAUCCGACCCGUAUCUUGGCCUGGCAAAUCACCGGACGGCCGGCGAUUCGAAGGUUUUUUCUUUGCAUGCAAUCGGUUAUUUUGCAGCCAUGGCGCGGUCGCCUCUCUUGUGCCCGAUCUCUCUUUGCAGAUCUGAGCCUCUUAAGCACUGUGAAAUAGAUCUAUAUCUUCUUCUUCUUUAAAUUUCAACUACUUUUUGCUUCUAAGUAUUAGCUUUAGCAUCAGACCAAAAGCUCAGAGACAGAGAAUGAGGGUUGCAGAGAGUAGAGGAAAGUUCAAGGGCAGCUGCUCCUCUCUGCUAAUUCCUGUGAUUUCAUUUUUGCCAAAGAUGCCCUUCUGCAGUAAACUAUGUCCAAACGACCCCUCUACUGUACCUCCAAAUACUCACUCCCAAAAAGAGAAUCGAUAGUACUACUACUACUACUACUAAUAAUAAUUGUAUGAAAAAUCUGAGGCUGUGAUGAUAAUUUUUUCUUCUGUCUCUGAGCAAAUUGGCGAGGGAAAAGAACAAUUGGACCCGUAUCUUGGCGGGGCAACCCGGACGGUGACGUCUUGCAACCGAUAUUUGCAGCCAUGGCGGUGUCUCCAAUCUCUUGCCGUGUCUUCAAUAUUACAGAUCUGAGCCUCAAUUGGAAGGUUAUUUUCUUAAGUGCAAACUUACAGGAUCUUUUCCGUUAAUUUUUGAAAUUCACAGGUAAAAAAACCACAAGAAUUUCCCCUAAAAAUGCAAAAAGGUUGGCCCAGAAAGAAAUGAGGCAAAACAGAGAGUAUUGGGAUUUUCAUUUGAAGGGUGGUUGCCCCUCUCCGUUCCGCCAUUGAUUUUCCUUUAUUUUAAAAAAAAACCAACAGUCCUUGUUUAUGACAAAAGCAGAAGUAGAGCGCAUUUCGUCAUAAGAAUUGUAAAAUUCCGGAAAAAGUAAUUUUUUUUUCUAGUGAAAUCUGUAUUUACUUUUUGCGUGUGUGUGUUUAUGUUGCUAAUGGAAGUUACAUAAAGAGGCAGUGAUGAUGUUGUUUCUUGUAUCUGGGCUAACCGAUUUGGGCAUAGAGAUGACCCAACCCAUAUCUUGGCGUGGCAACCCGGUAUGGCCUGUGAUUGAGAUUUCUGUCUCCCACUUGCAACUGGUGUUUUGCAGCGCCAUGGCAUAGCUGGCUUCUCUUUGCCUUAUCUUAACACAUCUGAGCCCCAUUUGCUGAAAAAAAGAAGAUUAAUCUUUUCUAUGAUUUGGAUUAGCAGGAAAAUAGGAAGGAAAAUAGCAACGGUAAAGUUAGUAUUCGUGUCACCUAUAGGUCACGGUUUCGAGCCGUCAAAGUAGCCACUAAUGCUUUAUUAGGGUAUGUCGUUUACGUCACAUCUCUUGGGUGUGCCCUUUGCCAAAUCAUGUGUCAACUUGGAAUGCCUUGUGCACCGGGUUGCCCUUGGAUUAAACUAAUUAAUUUAAGUCUGAGGUUGCGGUGAAGGCAAAGAGCUGUAGGGAGUUUCAUUGGGUGGUUUUGCUGCUCUCUGUCAAUUCUCUGCCGCCAAUGAUCACUCAAAUGUAUGAUUGCAAAACCACCCGUUUGGUGAAAAUAUGUAUUACUCCCCCGUUUCAAUUUAUGCGACGCGAUGAGGCUAUGAAGAUUUUAUUCUUCUGUGGAAGAUCAAUCAGACAUAUAAAUCUAUUGAGCUCGGAAAAAAAUUGUAAUCUUGGCGUGGCAGCUCAGUUGGGUCUUUGAGAUAUUGGAGAAUUAUCCAUUUUUGUGUGUGUUUCUCCUCUUUCAUAAGACUAACUGAUGCUUGCAGCCAUGGCGGUCUUUUUCCAAAGCUUUUUUGGGGUUUUGUCUGAGAAAAGGCGAAUCUGAGCCUACCCCAUUGUCUGGAUGAAACAUGUUGGGAUGAUAAAUUCUACUUCUAAGGUUAUUUUCUUAAGUGCAAACUUACAGGUUCUUUUCCGUUAAAUUUUGAAAUUCGCAGGUGAAAAACCCACGAGAAUUUCCCCUAAAAAUGCAAAAAGGUUUGCCUAGAAAGAAAUGAGGCAAAACAGAGAGUAUUGGGAUUUUCAUUAGAAGGGUGGUUGCCCCUCUCUGUUCCACCAUUGAUUUUCCUCCUUUUUCAGAAAAAAACCAACAGCCCUUGAAUAUGACAAAAGUAGAAGCAGACAAGAUUUAAGUGGACGUUUGGACAUAAAAAUUGUGUAAUUCCGGAAAAAGUAUUUUUUUUCCAGUGAAAUCUGUGUUUACUUUGUGUGUGUGUGUAUGUUUAUGUUGGUGAUGGAAGUUACAUGACGAGGCAGUGAUGGUGAUGUUUCUUGUAUCUGGGCCAACCGAUUUGGGCAUAGAGAUGACCCAAGCCGUAUCUUGGCGUGGCAACCCGGUAUGACUUGUGAUUGAGAUUUCUGUCUCUCAUUUGCGGCGUGGCAACCCGGUAUGACUUGUGAUUGAGAUUUCUGUCUCUCAUUUGCAACGGGUGUGUUUUGCAGCCAUGGCAUAGCUGGCUUCUCUUUGCCUUAUCAUAACACAUCUGAGCCCCAUUUGCUGAAAAGAAAAAAAGAAGAUAAUCUUUUCUAUGAUUUGGAUUAACAGGAAAAUAUGAAGGGGAGCCUCGAAGCUACGGUUAAGUUGUCUUCAGGUUCGAAUCGUGAAAGCAACCACUAAUACUUGCAUUAAGGUACGAUGUCUAUACCAUACCCCUUGGAUGCGGUCCUUCCCCGGAUCCUGUGUGAACGCGGGAUGCCUUGUGCACCGGGCUGUCAUUGGAUUAACAGGAAAUUAGCAAAAAACUCAUUAGUAUAUGUCUGAGGCUGCGGUCUAGGCAGAGAGCUGUAGGGAGUUUCAUUGGGUGGUUUUGCCCCUCUGUGAUUGUCCGCCGCUGAUGAUCACUCAAAUGUCCGUUUUUAAAACCACCCUUUUGGUGAAAAUACGUAUUACUUCCUCCCUUUCAAUUUAUGUGACGCAAUGAGGCUAUGAAAGGUUUUAUUCUUAAUCAGACUUAUAAAUCUCUUGAGCUGGGAAAAAUUGUAAUCUUGGCGUGGCAGCUCAGAUGUGUCUUUGAGAUAUUGGAGAAAAAUCCAUUUUUGUGUGUGUUUUCCUGUUUCAUAAGACUAACUGAUGCUCGCAGCCAUGACGGUCUUUUUCCAAAGCUUUUUGGGUUUUUGUUUGAGAAAAUGAGAAGAAUGAGGCAACAGAGAGAUUGGGAUUUUCUGUAAAAAAGGUGGUUGUCCCUCUCUGUUAUGCCUAUGAUUUCUCCAUUGUAAAUCAACAGCCCUUUGAAUUAAUCCCCCCCCCCCCCCCAAAAAAAAAUCAUCAUCCAAACAGACCCUUAAUAUAUUGCUCUUCCUCCUCUCUGUGUUGCUGCUACUGAAUACUGAUGUAUAUACAGGGGCUGUGAUAUGAUUGCUUUUCCUUUCUGGGCUAUGUUCAAUUCAUGGCAUUGAGAAAAUAUCCGACCCAUAUCUUGGCAGGGCGAUCCGGUACGGUUUUUGUAUAGCAAACUGGUGUCUGCAGCUAUGGUGGCGUCGCCUUCUCAUUUGCUUUGACAAAAAAUACAGCAAAUAUGAGCCGUUAGUCUGAGGCUGCGGUCAAGGCAGAGAGCUGUAGGGAGUUU
rnacentral:lncRNA from 1 species